AGCCAAAGACUCAUAUGUACUUUG
rnacentral:siRNA from 1 species